rnacentral:rRNA from 1 species
GGAAUAUUGGACAAUGGGGGGAACUCUGAUCCAGCCAUGCCGCGUGUGUGAAGAAGGCCUUUUGGUUGUAAAGCACUUUAAGCGAGGAGGAGGCUCCUAUAGAUAAUACCUAUAGAGAGUGGACGUUACUCGCAGAAUAAGCACCGGCUAACUCUGUGCCAGCAGCCGCGGUAAUACAGAGGGUGCAAGCGUUAAUCGGAUUUACUGGGCGUAAAGCGUACGUAGGUGGUCUUUUAAGUCGGAUGUGAAAUCCCUGAGCUUAACUUAGGAAUUGCAUUCGAUACUGGGAGACUAGAGUAUGGGAGAGGAUGGUAGAAUUCCAGGUGUAGCGGUGAAAUGCGUAGAGAUCUGGAGGAAUACCGAUGGCGAAGGCAGCCAUCUGGCCUAAUACUGACACUGAGGUACGAAAGCAUGGGGAGCAAACAGGAUUAGAUACCCUAG